ACAUUAUCUCAUCUAAUUUCGAUCAAAUUAAAUGUGUGAGGCAAGCACAAUUAACCCCACUUACACAAGGGGAAAUUGAGGUCCAGAGAAGUUAUAUAACUUGCCCAAGGUCACAGUCUAAUUCAGCCUUGCCUGACUGUGAAAGCCCUAUUCUUAACCGACAUGACAGACGGUUCAGGUCUUUGAAGAUGAAGUGAGGGAACCCCUCAGCAUCCUCUGUCUCCUGGAGGCCUAUCUUAAACUAAUGUCCAGCAAGAGCAUGGGGAGGGGUGCUGAAAUUCAAAUAGGAUUGUUAGAGGCAAACGUGUCUAUGUCCUGCUAGACUGAGGUCAGCCACCAGAGGGCAGCACAGUCACAAAUUUAUGGGAAUUUGCAGAAGGGAGCCUAUGUAUGAGGUCCUCACCCUCUUCCCCCAUCAAGACAAUUCUUAUUAACUUAGGCUCCUGCCUCGCAGUUUUAGCAUGAUCUCAAAAUAUGUCUCCUGGGAGUUCAUACCUGCUCUACACUCCAAUCUUCAACUUCUUAAUAAUUCUGUAACUCAGAAACUUCUUCCCAGAACCCAUAAAUGAAGGACUAUAGGGAGGGCAAGACCUGAUGAGGCAACGAGCUACCCAAUAUUUCCAAGGAUGACAGCUGUGGCAUAGCAAGGCACUGAGACUUCUCCAAGAAUGAAAUCCCAUACUCGCCUUCUUGGGGGAUGGGUGGGAAUGGCAACAGCCAUACUCCAGGGGCCAAAUAUGAGAUUUACACUAUGAUUAGGAGGAAAUGAGGAGGGGAAGUGGGCUGUAUUGGGCUGGUAUCAUGGGUGUGUCUGUAGUUAGUGCCUGUACCUUUGAGUCUGAGAAUGACAAGGUCUCUCUCAAGGAGGCACAAUACAAGGUAGGAAUUCCCUGGGCUCAGAAGUGCUGCAGAUGUAACCCAGCACCAAUCUCUCUGUCGCUGAACUGUAAUUCUCAGGCUCUGUCUGCUCGGGAGUCUGCCCAGGAGGAGAAAGAAUAGCAAGAGGCAAGGAGGGAGUAUAUGUGUGUUGGGGGUGGAUAUAACAAGAACUGGGAAGAGCAAGCUUGGUGAUACGAGGCUGGAACAGCAUGGUGGUAAGUCGGAUCUGGACCCCAAGGACAAACUCUGAUGGGCUAGGAGACCCUACCUCCUCCCCCAAGGUCAGAUUUAGGCAUAAAGCCACAGUCUCCCUAGAUCUCUGGGCCUCUGGAUCAGAACAAGACCAAGGCAUUAGGACCCCCAGAAUUCACUGGCCCUUGAGCUGGAGCAUUUCGGCAGGUAGAGAAACAGAUAUUUUUUUCAAACCAG
ensembl:lncRNA